UAGAGUGUGGACAGGUGUUUAGUUGACGACUAACGAAACUUUAUACGACAACUCGUGUAUAGGAUAAUAUUAUAUGACCAGUACAUUGGUAUUCGAAUUUAGAUGUGUUUAAACUGUUUUUGAUUUGUGCUUAUUGACUGUUUGUGUACUUAUUACUGAUUGCUGUAGAAGUUGCGAGGUAGUUUGUUGGUGAAUGACGUGCGAUAAAGAUUUGAACAUCAUUCGGAAAA